rnacentral:tRNA from 1 species
GCGCCGUUAGCUCAGUUGGUAGAGCAGCUACCUCUUAAGUAGACGGUCGCAGGUUCAAAUCCUGCACGGCGCACCA